rnacentral:rRNA from 1 species
UACAGAGGUCUCAAGCGUUGUUCGGAUUCAUUGGGCGUAAAGGGUGCGUAGGCGGCGCGGUAAGUCGGGUGUGAAAUCUCGGAGCUUAACUCCGAAACUGCAUUCGAUACUGCCGUGCUUGAGGACUGGAGAGGAGACUGGAAUUUACGGUGUAGCGGUGAAAUGCGUAGAUAUCUGGAGGAAUACCGGUGGCGAAGGCGGCAUCCUGGACCGGCAUUGACGCUGAGG